UACAGAGGUCUCAAGCGUUGUUCGGAUUCAUUGGGCGUAAAGGGUGCGUAGGUGGCGCCGUAAGUCAGGUGUGAAAUCUCGGGGCUCAACCCCGAAACUGCACUUGAUACUGCGGUGCUCGAGUACUGGAGAGGAGAUUGGAAUUUACGGUGUAGCAGUGAAAUGCGUAGAUAUCGUAAGGAAGACCAGUGGCGAAGGCGAAUCUCUGGACAGUUACUGACACUGAGGCACGAAGGCCAGGGGAGCAAAACGGGG
rnacentral:rRNA from 1 species